GAGAUGUGGAGGAACACCAGUGGCGAAGGCGACUCUCUGGUCUGUAACUGACGCUGAGGAGCGAAAGCGUGGGGAGCGAACAGGAUUAGAUACCCUGGUAGUCCACGCCGUAAACGAUGAGUGCUAAGUGUUAGGGGGUUUCCGCCCCUUAGUGCUGCAGCUAACGCAUUAAGCACUCCGCCUGGGGAGUACGGUCGCAAGACUGAAACUCAAAGGAAUUGACGGGGGCCCGCACAAGCGGUGGAGCAUGUGGUUUAAUUCGAAGCAACGCGAAGAACCUUACCAGGUCUUGACAUCCUCUGACAAUCCUAGAGAUAGGACGUCCCCUUCGGGGGCAGAGUGACAGGUGGUGCAUGGUUGUCGUCAGCUCGUGUCGUGAGAUGUUGGGUUAAGUCCCGCAACGAGCGCAACCCUUGAUCUUAGUUGCCAGCAUUCAGUUGGGCACUCUAAGGUGACUGCCGGUGACAAACCGGAGGAAGGUGGGGAUGACGUCAAAUCAUCAUGCCCCUUAUGACCUGGGCUACACACGUGCUACAAUGGACAGAACAAAGGGCAGCGAAACCGCGAGGUUAAGCCAAUCCCACAAAUCUGUUCUCAGUUCGGAUCGCAGUCUGCAACUCGACUGCGUGAAGCUGGAAUCGCUAGUAAUC
rnacentral:rRNA from 1 species